rnacentral:rRNA from 1 species
GACAGAGGUGCCAAGCGUUUAGGCGGAAUCACUGGGCUUAAAGCGUGUGUAGGCGGAUUGGUAAGUACCUUGUGAAAUCCCACAGCUCAACUGUGGAACUGCUCGGUAUACUGCUUAUCUUGAGCCACUUAGGGGCUGUCGGAACAAAUGGUGGAGCGGUGAAAUGCGUAGAUAUCAUUUGGAACGCCAAAGGUGAAAAACAGACAGCUGGGAGUGUGCUGACGCUGAGACACGAAAGCCAGGGGAGCGAACGGG